CUUGGUCANUNNGAGGAAGUAAAAGUCGUAACAAGGUCUCCGUUGGUGAACCAGCGGAGGAUCAUUACAGAGUUGCAAAACUCCCCAAACCAUCGUGAACGCUACCUAAACCGUUGCUUCGGCGGGCGGCGCCCUCGCGCGCCCCCCUGGGCCCGCACCGCGGGCGCCCGCCGGAGGUACACCAAACUCUUGAUAUGUAAUGGCCACUCUGAGUCUUCUAUACUGAAUAAGUCAAAACUUUCAACAACGGAUCUCUUGGUUCUGGCAUCGAUGAAGAACGCAGCGAAAUGCGAUAAGUAAUGUGAAUUGCAGAAUUCAGUGAAUCAUCGAAUCUUUGAACGCACAUUGCGCCCGCCAGUAUCCUGGCGGGCAUGCCUGUUCGAGCGUCAUUUCAACCCAUCAAGCCCACGGCUUGUGUUGGGGACCUGCGGCUGCCCGCAGGCCCUGAAAACCAGUGGCGGGCUCGCUAGUCACACCGAGCGUAGUAGCAUACGACCUCGCUCAGGGCGUGCUGCGGGUUCCAGCCGUAAAACGACCUUCGCGACCCCAAGGUUGACCUCGGAUCAGGUAGGAGGACCCGCUGAACUUAAGCAUAUCAAUAAGCGGAGG
rnacentral:rRNA from 1 species